rnacentral:rRNA from 1 species
GACGAACCGUGCGAACGUUGUUCGGAAUCAUUGGGCUUAAAGGGCGCGUAGGCGGGCCCGCAAGUCAGGGGUGAAAUCCCACGGCUCAACCGUGGAAGUGCCUCUGAUACUGCGGGCCUCGAGGGGGGUAGGGGCGUGCGGAACUUCCGGUGGAGCGGUGAAAUGCGUAGAUAUCGGAAGGAACACCGGUGGCGAAAGCGGCGCGCUGGACCCCUUCUGACGCUGAGGCGCGAAAGCUAGGGGAGCAAACAGG